UAUCAAAAAUUUCAUCUAUUUGUACUAUUAUAAAUUAGCGAUUGAUGGAUAAUCAGAUAAUAACACGUGGCAUGUCAUGUGUACUCCAUGUUAACGCAAAAAGACUAAUUUUUAAUAUUAGAAAUUCAUGAAAUUUUUAACA
rfam:Gossypium hirsutum cultivar TM-1 chromosome 13, whole genome shotgun sequence